GUGGGGAAUCUUGCGCAAUGGGCGAAAGCCUGACCCGGCAACGCCGCGUGAAGGAAGAAGGUUUUCGGAUCGUAAACUUCUAUCCUUGGUGAAGAUAAUGACGGUAGCCAAGAAGGAAGCCCCGGCUAACUACGUGCCAGCAGCCGCGGUAAUACGUAGGGGGCAAGCGUUGUCCGGAAUGAUUGGGCGUAAAGGGCGCGUAGGCGGCCCGGUAAGUCUGAAGUGAAAGUCCUGCUUUUAAGGUGGGAAUUGCUUUGGAUACUGUCGGGCUUGAGAGCAGGAGAGGUAAGCGGAAUUCCCGGUGUAGCGGUGAAAUGCGUAGAGAUCGGGAGGAACACCAGUGGCGAAGGCGGCUUACUGGACUGUAACUGACGCUGAGGCGCGAAAGUGUGGGGAGCAAACAGGAUUAGAUACCCUAGUAGUCC
rnacentral:rRNA from 1 species